rnacentral:tRNA from 1 species
GGCUUCGUAGCUCAGUUGGUUAGAGCGUCGCACCGGUAUCGCGAGGUCAUGGGUUCAAAGGCCGUUGAAGCCC